AAGUCGUAACAAGGUUUCCGUAGGUGAACCUGCGGAAGGAUCAUUAACACGUAUCCAACGUUAAACAACCCUGUGAACCUUGAACGUGCUCCUGCGGCCCCAUGAAAUCAGCAAUCCCUGGUAAAUCAUUGUUGACCAGCUUUUGAGUCAGGGAUCUCUGCCGAAACGGCUGUUCAGUACCGAGCGCAGUGUAAGCGACCUGGCAUCCCUAAGCGAUCAGUGUCUGAAAGUGUCAUUGAUUGUGUAAGGAUGGCGCACACGGCUGGCAACCGGGUCCCACCCGUUUAUCAAACCCCACAGCUUCCGACUGGGCAGCCGAUCAUACGGACGGACGGUAAAAAACUGAACAACUGUUAACAAUGGAUAUCUUGGUUCUC
rnacentral:misc_RNA from 1 species